GAUCGCACUUGUGCUGUGGGUAUUCAACCGUGAUCCAGCUGACAGCCAGUGAUGCUUUGUAAUCACGAAUUAGAAAGCUCUUGAGCAGUACUAAACCUGUUCCUUUAGAUCCAAGGUUCUAACUCAGCGCCCAUACAUGAUAUUCACAAUAGCCCUGAAAACAGGGUAAAAUAACUAUAGAUUCUGUAUCUCUGCAGGGAUUGUUUUCUUCAAGGGGACUCCAUCCUAACAUUUAACUGGUGUUCAUAAAAACCUCGCCAUAAAUCUGAAGAUUACCCUGGCGCCAUGUGCUCCUCAUUGCUCAUCCCUUCAUUGUAGAGCUCUGGUCGUCAUCUGGAAUGAAUAAGUCACAUCAAAAUCGUGAAAUCCUAAGAAGAAAAAAAAAUAGCUUGCAAAGUUAAAACUGCCUUUUUAUUUCUGAAGGAAGAGAUGAAAUGGCGGAAAUCUCUUUAAUUGAGACACAUUUCAUUGAAAGGAGACAAAUGAAUCCAGUGUUUUUGGCAGGAUUUUCGAAAUGAAAGAAAACUGUUUAAAUAAUCCAUUUAAGGGACGACGGUCUGAUUGUCUCCGGAGGUUUUGAUUGACGCAACAUAACACCUGGUUGGAAUCCAUCUUUGCAUUUUUGGUGUUGUGUUUGUCAGGCAGCACUUUCAUGAAGCUAAAAAGUUAACUCAUUCACAGUUAUAUUUAGUAGAGUGAGACGUACAAACAGAAGGAUUUGUUUGUGAUUUUAUGACCAGAAAAUGUUAAGUAUUUAGCAUUUAAAGGUGAAGGGGUCCUACUUUAUCCUCUUAAGGACCCAGCCAUUUUACACCUUAGGACCCGGCCAUUUUUUGAACAUCUGACCACUGUCACUUUAAACAUUAAUAACUCUGGAAUGCUUUUAGUUAUCAUUCUGAUUCCGAGAUAGUUUUUUCAUGACACAUUCUACUUUAACAUAGUGGUAAAAAAAUUUUGGAACUUGCAUCCUUUCUUGGUGAAAAAUUAGAAAAUUUUAUUAAA